rnacentral:rRNA from 1 species
GACGAACGCUGGCGGCGUGCUUAACACAUGCAAGUCACGGGGGCCCGCAAGGGUCAACCGGCGAACGGGUGCGUAACACGUGAGCGACCUGCCCAAUUGCGGGGGAUAGCCGGCCCAACGGCCGGGUAAUACCGCAUACGCUUCCCUGGGGCAUUCUUGGGGAAGGAAACCUACGGGGCGAUUGGAGGGGCUCGCGGCCUAUCAGCUAGUUGGCGAGGUAACGGCUCACCAAGGCGAUGACGGGUAGCUGGUCUGAGAGGAUGGCCAGCCACAUUGGGACUGAGAGACGGCCCAGACUCCUACGGGAGGCAGCAGUGGGGAAUCUUGCGCAAUGGCCGAAAGGCUGACGCAGCGACGCCGCGUGGAGGAUGACGCCCUUCGGGUGGU